rnacentral:rRNA from 1 species
UACGUAGGGGGCAAGCGUUGUCCGGAUUUAUUGGGCGUAAAGCGCGCGUAGGCGGCAAGGUAUGUCGUGCGUGAAAUCGCUCGGCUCAACUGGGCGGGGGUCAGCGGAUACGGCCGCACUCGAGCAAGCUAGGGGGCAAUGGAAUUCCCGGUGUAGUGGUGGAAUGCGUAGAUAUCGGGAGGAACACCAGUGGCGAAGGCGGUUGCCUGGAGCUUUGCUGACGCUGAGGCGCGAAAGCGUGGGGAGCGAUCCGG